GUAGGCACCUGUGGUCCCAGCUACUGUGGUGCUGAGGUGGGAGGAUAACUUGAGCCCGAGAGGCAUGACAGGUGUGUAUAGGGGCUGAGCAGCAGGUACUUUCUGAAUCUCAAGGGAAGACCUGCAGCCUGUGAGCACUUCAUGGGCCACAGACGGAGCGCCUGUUGUCAUCCGCAUGGGAGAAGUCUAGGGAUGUGGCUGUGCUGAGGCCAGCGGCCUGCGGGUGCACGGCCAGUGAGCGGGACUCUUUCCAGCAACACCUUCAGGAGACUCUUUGGUGGUUUCUUUUCUCCCUCAUGUUCUGAUAAAGAUGACGCGGGGAUGUGCCAUGCAUCCCAUAUCUGAGAAAUGCUCGCCUCCUGUGUGCCGGACACUGGGCCAUGUGCUGGUGGACGGACAGGGCGGCGGAGCCAGUUUAUCCUGAAAGUCCUUUGCACACAUCUCUUAUUACAUGUGUGUCAAGACUGAAAAUAAAGUAUGGAACCAGGGUGUCACAGAUGGGGGUCACAGACACACAGCAGAUACAGCAUGGCGCUCCCAGCAGUGAUGCGGGAGAGCAUGUACAGUCCCCGGACGCAGCCUGUGCGCAGCAAGAAAUUCAUUAGGGGAUCUCUGGCCCCAGGUGCCACCCGGGAGCGUGCGUGUGCAAGGCCACCUGACCAGCGAGGGCCCUGGGAUGGCCUGACCCGUCAGGAAUGCUGACAGCAGGGGCUGGCUCAGUUACCAAAAGGGGAAACAAAGGCACUCCAGGGCUUCCCUGGGGCUCGCACCUUCCUGAGGUCUUCAGUCCCCCUGGAGAUGGAAGGGAGGUGGCCGAGUGGCCUGUGGCGCAGGGCUCCCUUGCUGUUCCUUGCAACCUGGGGGGUCUCUGACUCUUGGAGCUGAGUGACAGGUGGGGAUUUUUGUCCCUCUAAGGGUCUUUGGAUGAUCGACUCCCAACUGACGCUCCAGGCUGGUAUCUACAAUACAUGCUCUGAGGAAAGCUAGUCUGUGAAAUGAUGCAUUAAAGGGUUCUGUUAUGGGUUGGGAGUCCGAGUCCCUCUUGGGGAGAGCCGUGGUGCCGGGAGCAGCUGGAGGCCUCAGGGCGUGCUUAGCUUUGCUUCCCCAGCUUUGCUGACCCCAAUAAGCUCUUCCCCACGUGGUACCUGUCAGCAGCGCAGCGGGAAGCUCUGUGUGUGUGAAACCACACAAGGGGUUCAGAGCUAUCCUCAGGGCAGACCUGGAGUUUUUUCUGGUGUUCCUUAAAAGCAUCUGAUGAAUAUUGGGAUUAAUUUCCUGAAGAACUUGGAAGAGAGUUUCUCUCUCCUUUCUGAAAACUGAACGUUCAGAUCAGCACAUGAUAGGAAUCUGGAUGGCGGAGAAGAUUUGGGUCAAUCUCCCCAGUGCCCCAAAUCCAGUGAAAUGACAACAAUUUUUUUAAAAAAUUAAGUGUAUUGUUUUUAAAAAUACAUCCACAAGUUUCUGACGAUCUCCCUCAGUUUAUCCUCCCCUUCAGCAUGGUCACUCAUGGUCACUUGUUUUUAAUGAGUAGGAAGCGACUGGGGUGGCCGUGGGUGGCUUCUGUUGGCAUGUGGUUUCCUGCUUGCUCUUGGAUGCUGCACUCUGGAGAAGCUGGCUGCCACAUCUGCAGGACACUUGCGCAGCUCUCUGGGGAGGUCUGAGGCCUCUCCCAGCAAUGCUGCUGGCUGAAGGUGUGUGGAAGCAGGUCCUCCAGCCCCAGUUGAGCCUUCAGAUGAUGCAGCCCUAGCCGUCACCUUGAGGGCAACCUCAGGAGAGCCCCAGCACUGCCCAGCUAACCCAGAGACCACAGGUGAGAAUGUAUGUUCCUGUUGUAAGGCACAAGUUUCAGAGCAGUGUUACACAGCGUAGUAACUGGUGUCUAAGUGUGACUCCCUAACCAUAGUGCUCACCUCCACUCAAGAAAGUGCUGAUGGUGGAUCAGACAUCUUGAGAAAGAGAAACUAAUGGAACAGACGUCUGAGAAAUAGGAGUAGAGCUGUCCUAGUCAGGCAAUGCCUGGCCUUGGAAUGGAUGGGGAAGGAUGGAGGCAGGCAGGUGGGAUCGUAGCGGGGGGUGCAUUCUGUCCCCACUCCCCAGGCUAUGCAGACCCACUGGGCAGAGGCUGCUGGCCUGCUCUCCCCUCUUGCAUGGUGCCCGGGGCACCAGGCUCAUGGGGUGCACUCUGUUAGUGGGCAGGUUAGAGGGACUAGGAAGGAAGACCUCUUGUCCCAGGCAACCUGCAGAGGCAGGGAGCCCCGGGGGGAGGCCCUGGGAGGAGCCCUGAGGGAGGGCUCUGGCUCCGCAUCCAUCUGGAGCUUUGCCCCGGAUUGCCGUUCCCGUCUUCCCAGGAUUCCGACUCUGUGCUUCGAAAUGUUGUGACAUGAUCUCUUCUGUUGUCUUAGUUGGGGCUCUUUCUGUUGCAAGUGACAGAAGCCCAAUGUGAAGGAGCCUGUGCCCGGGGGCUUCUGCCCUGGGGGCUCCUGAGGUGCAGCCACCGCCCUUGGUCCCUGCUGUGCUGCUUUCUGCAGAUGGCUUUGUCUCUACUGCCAGCAGGACGUCUGCUCACCGUGGGACAUGUGUAGACACAGUGUUGACGUCUUAAAGCCUUAAUUCUCAUUCCGCUAUGCAGAGGAGUGACUUCAGCUGCCAACUCUGGCUCCCAAGGCUCCAGGAGAGGUUCUGUGGGACUAGACCCGGGUCAGCGGCUCUGAUGGGCACAGGAUCGUGCGAUGCAGGCAUGGCUGUCGGCCAAAGGGCUUCUUGUGCUCAGGCUGCUGCCGGCUCAUGUCCAGGUCAUUUCUCCCACGCCACAAAUCCUGCUUGCCCAAAGUAAAAAUGGAGCUUGUAAAGUUAGCACGGUGGACAUUUGUGCACUUAUGGGACAGAGAAGGCUUGAACUUCAUUCCGAGGGGAAAGAAGCCAGCCCUGGCGUUAUUACUCUGUUAGAUAAGCCUGUGUCUCUCUGGGGUUUACAAGUAUCUUCACCCCAUCGCAGGUGACCAGGAAGGACUUCUGGGCCUCACCCGCCUCACUGCCACAUGAAACUCGGUCCCACAAGCCCCCCCGGGAAAGCUGGUUUUGUCCCGAGUGCCGAGAUGCAUAGUGGCUGGUCGGUUCCUCAGGAUGCCACAGUCCGGUAAGGAGAGCAGAGGGUGCAGCAGCCCUUAUGGCUGGGUGAGGGGUAUGGGGACUCCGGGCAGGGACAGCUGCUCAGAGAGAGGGGUCAGGACAGUCAUGACCAUCGGGUGGAUGGCUGAGGCAGGAUGUCACUGCAGGCUCAUUGUCCCUAGUCCUGGCCAGACUUGCUGUGACCACCUGUCUGGGCCCUGAAGAGGGCAGAGGAAUUGCUCAGGUGGGGCCAGGGCACAGGGCUGAGGCCUGCAGUCAGGCCGUGCCAGUUUGCAGAGAACAUCCGGGGCACCCCUGAGCAGGCGGCUCUUCUGAAUCGUUCGUGUUCUGCUCUCUGUUUUCUGCCUUGGGAAGUGAUUAUUUUUCAACACGAUCUCUUAAAUGCGGUGGGGGCAGGGCACUAGAAGCAUCCAGGCAUGAAGACAGCCCCCAGGUCAGCGGGGCUGGGGGAGUUGGGCUGGGCGGGGGCUGCAGAGCAGGAGGCUGUGCUCCCAUCACGGUCUGUCCCUGGCGUGAGCAGCGCUGGUCGUGACAGUUCUGGGGUGGAGCUUGCUUUUCGACGGAAGCCACUCUCCCCGGGACGUGCCUGCCUGCCUGCCUUUAUUAUUAUAGUUUAAUGUCUCAGCCUGCCUGCCUUUAUUAUAGUUUAAUGUCUUUCAUUGUCCAUGUUAAAAAUGCUUGUGUUUAUUUUGCACCAACUGUUCAAAAAAACCCACCCAUUCUAACAUCCAAAUAGGAUUUCAUCUGAGUUAUACAACAGCCUGGCAAAGGGCAAGUCAAUGAAAUCAAUAUAAUCUGCCCUAGCGUCCGUGUAUUUUCCAGCCUGCUCCAUUGCUAAUCACUCCUGAAGCUGCCUGGGUGCCCCGGCUUUACUGAUUGCCUCUGCAGAAGAAUGUGUGUGGGGGGGUCCCCAAGGACACAAGGACGUCACUGGCAGGACCGGAGACAGAGGCACGCUCUCCAGAGGCCUGUCCUGCUGCUGCUGCUGAGCAGGACUUCGGGCCAGCGGCCACCUAUCAUGACAUCGAAGCCGGCCCCAGAGAUACCAGGACCGAGGCCCCAGGGCGGCAUCGCCUGCUCCACCUCCGCAGAGAGACGUCCCUGUGAGCUUGGGGUGUGGAGCAGACCAGGGAGGAGCCCUCCGUAGAUGCCCUGGGCUUGGAGGUGUCGGCAUGGAUGAAGGCUCAGAUGGAAUCACCCCAGUUCUGCUGCUCCAGUAGCUGUGUGGCUGUGGGCAGGUUCUUCAAGCUGUGCCUCAGUUUCCUUGUCUGUAAAGGGGGAUGUCAUGUACCCUCAGAGCAGGGUUGAGGUGAGGAGUCCACCAGAGCCUGUCUGUGAGGUGGAAGGGCUUGAAUAACGUCCACUAAAAGCUCAUGUCUGCUCGGAACCUGGGAAUGUGACCUUUUUGGAAAUGGUCUUUGCAGAUGUGAUUAAACAGGGGUUGGAGAUGGGAUCAUCCUGGACUAGGGUGGGCACUAGAUCCAAAGACUGGUGUCUCUGCAGGAAUAGAAGACAGAGACACAGGAGGCGGCCACAUGAACACAGAGGCAGACUGGGGCCUCGCGGCCGAAGCCAGGAGCACCGAGGACUGCCACGGUCACCAUGGAGAGAGGCCUGGGACAGACACCACUGCAGAGCCUCCAGAGAACGCAGCCCACCCGCAGCUCGCUCAGCCUUCUGGCCCCUGAGCUGUGAGAAGAUGCAGUUCUGUUUUAAGCUGCUCUGUUUGGACACCUUGUUACAGGAGCCCCAGGAAGCUACUCAGUGGGCGUUUGUGGUUGGCCACCGAUCAUUCCCAAGAUCAUGUCCCCAUCCUAAGCCCUGGGACCUGUUCACGUGACCUGUUGUGGAAAAAGGGCUUUUGCAGAUGUAAUUAGCUUAAGGAUCUUGAGAUGAGAAGAUUAUUCUGGAUUCCCGUGGGCCCCAAAUACCAUCUUCAGUGGCUCCGCCAGAGAUUUGGCACACAGAGGAGGCUGUGUGACCAGAGGAGAGACCGCAGCGAUGUGGCCACAAGCCAAGGGCACCGGGAGCCCCCAGAGGCUGGAAGAGGAGAGGAAGGAGCCUCUCUAGGAGUGGCCACCAUCAGCAGCCACCAAAACGGGGAGGGAAUCAGUUCUGUGAGUGUCUGAUGGCAGCCUCAGGAAAUAGGCACAGUUUCCCAUUCGCAGCCUGGCCUCUAUCCCCAUCUGGGGGUUUCCCCACAGCCUGGCCUCCCCCCAUAGCCCAGGGUCUCCCCACAGCCAGGUCUCUCCCCAUAUCCUGGGGUGUUCCUGCAGUCUGGCUUCUCCCCACAGCCUGGGGUCUUCCUACAGCCUGGUAUCUUCCCAUAGCCUGAGGCCUUCUCACAGCCCGGGGUCUCCCCACAUCCUGGGGUCUCCCCACAGCCUGGGGCCUUCUCACAGUCUGGGGUCUCCCCAUAUCCUGGGGUCUCCCUGCAGCCUGGGACCUUCUCAUAUCCUGGGGUUCCCAUAUCCUGGGUCUCCCCACAUCCUGGGGUCUCCCUGCAGUCUACCCAUGGUGCCAGGGCAGCUCUUCCUCCUGACAGGCGUGAGGGGCCCUGGGUGUAGAGAAUAAACUCCACCCAUCGGAUGCGAAUUUCAGCAGCCCUGGGUUGGGUGAGUUUCCUGGAGCUGUGGCUGAGGGGUCAGGGGUGCAGUUCGCUGACUCUCCAGCUCAGCACACCCAGGGAGCUGGCGGGGUUCCCUGACACAGGGCAGCAGGUGGAGGCUGAGACAAAGGCUGAGCCAGCCGGGGGCUCUAGGGAGACACGCACCAGGCCCACUCCACAGGCAGCAGGACCCCAGGCUCACUGUGGGCAUUUGAGGAGUGGGUGUCAGGGCGGCCAGAAGCAGCCAGGGUGGAGGUCGUGGGGGAUCAUCUCGGUGGGCAGAGCCUCGGGGCCCUGGGGUGGAGGGAGUGAGGCUGGAGAGCCUGGCUGGCUGCGCUGGCAGGAUAACGCCUAACACGGUCCCGGAGAUGGCGCUUCUCCCACGGACAAGGGGAGGUAACGCGGGAACAGACUGUAAUCAGGUUCCAGGUCCAAUAAAGGUGAACCUCGAGGCGGAAAGGACCUAGCUGCAGGUGAGCGCAGUCCUCCAUGUGUGAGUGCAUGUGUGUGUUGUAUGUGUAAGCGUGUGGCCCAGAGCCCGUCCAUGGCAGCCCAUUGGUGGGUCCGGCCCUGCCUGCAGAUUCAGCUUUCCACUGCAAAGCAAUAUGCAGUGUGUGAAAAGGCAACACAGAUCCGUGGCACCACCAUGAGCCUCAGUGUUAGAUUUGGAAUGGAAUCCCUCCCUCCCUCCCACUUUAAACUGUGAGUCCUUGGAAAAGUUACCUGACCUUUCUCAUGUUCACAUUCUUACCUGUAAACCCUCCCGGAGUUGAAAUGAGCCGUAAGUGAAACACCGUGUGGCAACGGGGGUGGGGAUGGGGGAGGCGCGCAGUCACCCUCGCCUUCCUUUUCCUUUUCUUGGUAAUUGUGUUCUUCUAUGUCAAAGGAAAAGAAUAAAACCCGAAAAUUAUUUGGGGGAAAAAGAAAAAGACACACAUGCAAGUGCCACAGGAAGCUGUGGGGUUCGGCCUGCAGGGGAGACGCUCUGUGGUGUUCGGUAUGUCGGUGGGGUUCGGCCUGCAGGGGAGAGACGCUCUGUGGUGUUCGGUAGGUCGGUGGGGUUCGGCCUGCAGGGGAGACGCUCUGUGGUGUUCGGGAAGUCAGUGGGGUUCGGCCUGCAGGGGAGAGACGCUCUGUGGUGUUCGGGAAGUCAGCCCUCAGUACAGCAGUUGUGGGAGCCUCUGUGGUUCCGGAUCCACAUCAACUAGAAUUCUAUGUUCCAGGGAAAACUGCUUUCAGUGCUGACUUAUACUCAACACUGCAAGGCCAUCCAUGGAGCAGAGUAAACAUCCCAUCCCAUCAUGCCCCACGCCCU